GAUGAACACUAGCGGCAGGCUUAACACAUGCAAGUCGAACGGCAGCACAGGUAGCAAUACUGGGUGGCGAGUGGCGCACGGGUGCGUAACGCGUAUGCAACCUACCUCUAUCUGGGAGAUAGCCCGAAGAAAUUCGGAUUAAUACCCCAUAAUAUAUGUCUUUCGCAUGUUAGACAUAUUAAAGCUUUGGCGGAUAGAGAUGGGCAUGCGUGACAUUAGCUAGUUGGUAAGGUAACGGCUUACCAAGGCUACGAUGUCUAGGGGGUCUGAGAGGAUUAUCCCCCACACUGGUACUGAGACACGGACCAGACUCCUACGGGAGGCAGCAGUGAGGAAUAUUGGACAAUGGGCGAAAGCCUGAUCCAGCCAUGCCGCGUGCAGGAAGACGGCCCUAUGGGUUGUAAACUGCUUUUAUAUGGGAAUAAACCUCCGAACGUGUUCGGAGCUGAAGGUACCAUACGAAUAAGGAUCGGCUAACUCCGUGCC
rnacentral:rRNA from 1 species